rnacentral:rRNA from 1 species
GACGAACGCUGGCGGCGUGCUUAACACAUGCAAGUCGAACGAAGUGGCGAACGGGUGAGUAACGCGUAAUCAACCUGCCCUUCAGAGGGGGACAACAGUGGGAAACGACUGCUAAUACCGCAUACUGAAGGAGGGGAUUGCGUCUGAUUAGCUAGUUGGAGGGGGAACGGCCGACCAAGGCGAGGAUCAGUAGCCGGUCUGGGGGGAUGAACGGCCACAAUGGGACUGGGGAAAGGGCCCGACUCCUACGGGAGGCAGCAGUGGGGAAUCUUUCGAAAUGGACGAAAGUCUGAAGGAGCAAAGCCGCGUGAGUGAUGACGGCCUUCGGGUUGUAAAGCUCUGUUAAUCGGGACGCGGUACCGGAAUAGAAAGCCACGGCUAACUACGUGCCAGCAGCCGCGGUAAUAC